AGAUGCAUGCCUUGAUAAGGUCCACAUUGCAGUUUGAGUUUGAGACUGCUUUCACUCCCUUGGCUCAAUGCUAUAGGAUUGUGGGAAUUGUAGUUUUAUCCUUUUCUGACAGAGAGCCCUGCAGUGUGUUUUUGACCAAAGUGGUCUCAAACUGGAUUAUUUCUGCAGUGUGUUUUUGACAAAAGUGGUAUCAAACUGAGUACCUUUAUUUAUCCUCCUCGACACCUCAGCCUCAGCCAACGGCCUCCUCCUUUCCUGCCCAGGCAAGGGGCGGCCUCUCAGGCGGUUGACAGGGGCGGUCCCUCCCAAAGGAGGAGGAGAAGGACUGGAGCCUGGUCCUGGCUGCUCUUCUGCCCCAGAGAGGCGCCUUCUUUCCCUUCAGAAGAGCCCCUCUCGGCCGUUGCCUCCAGCGCAGAGCCUCCUCCUUCCUCCUCCAAUGGCUGGGCGGCCUGGGUUCCCGCUCACUCCGCCGCUGGAGAGGCUCCCCUCCAUGGCCCACUCGGCCCCUCUACCAUCGCCGCCUCCCGCGGGGCUCUUGCGAGGAGGACCCAGCCCCGUCAGGGCCGCCGCCAGCCCAUUCUGGCCUAUGGCGCACGGGGCCCUCUUCCAAGCACAUUAGCUGAAAGGGAAAACUAUGGACCUGCAAAAGGGUGCUUUUGUUCAGACUUGUUUGGUUAGAAGAAAAAUGCUUUGUUUGUGUUCUGAAUGACAGCAUCUCUCUGCAGCCUUCAGCCCCCAAAGCCAGCCGGAUCCCAUCCAUUUCUCUUACUGACCAGCUACAGGCAACAGGGCAGAGGAUACCUGCCUGACUAAUGGAUUUGCAAGUGUUUGAGAAUGGUGAAAGCCUCCUCCAACUCUCUUCCAAGAUUGCUCUUUUCCUGCUGCUAGUAGCCUGUGUGUAUGCAUGCACACGAGUUUGCAUUGCACACAACCACACACCUGACAUUCAGUAUAAUCCUUGGGUCUACAAAGCCUCCUUUGCUCCAAAAGGACCACGGUUUCGUCACUUGGGCAGAUGUCUCCAUGCCACCACGAAAGAACUGUUUACCUUGCUUUGUCUCCUCAACCACAGAAGGCACACUUCCUCUCCCAAUUCAUGCUCCAUACAUUUCGGUUCAAAGGACAUGAUGGUUUCCCUACAUGUGUACAAGAAUCAGCUUCUUUCUUUGGUAUUUCGACCUCUGCUAAACUCUGUGUGUGCUGCUCUGUGUUCUUAACUGUAGCUUUUUAAGGAAGGUCACGAGUGCUACUCUUUUUGUGCAUCUUUUGACUUGGGAAACUUAUUUUGGUAAAACAAUAAUACUAGCACUACUAUUGAUAAUAAUAAUAAUAACCACCAGAGUUAGCUGUAUUAUGGGCUAGGUUUUUUUUUUUAUUUACCCCUUUGAUAACCAUAGGAUUAUUCAGAUGGUGAAAAUAAUCCUGGUAGAAUGUGGGUUGAAUCUUUGUUGUUCACAUGAAUUUUGAAUGCAUCCAAUUAUGUUUCUUUUUUGGGGGGUGAGGCUGCCAAAAAUGCAUAAAACCCAAUUAAAACAAAAAUGCCAGGAGUUUAUUCAUGACAUUAAAAUGUUUAGUGCAAAGCUAAUGCUAACUUUAAAGUAGGGAUGGAAAGAGCAAUAAAAGUAGCAUUUUUGUACCUCUUGGCAGAGUUGCACCGGAGGACCUAGAGAUUCCUGGAGAAUCCAAGAUUUUCCCAGUCCAGCAUGAUUCUAGGCGGCCAAGAAAAAUAAUGGCUGGAAACUUGUACAGUCCUCCACCUCCAUGGAGUCUUUAUCCAUGGAUUCAUGCAUCCAUGGCUUGAAAAUAUUCAAAAAAUAUAUAAAUUGCCAAAAGAAAAUCUUGAUUUUGCUAUUUUAUACAAGGGGCACCAUUUUACUGUAAUGGGACGAGCAUCCAUGGUUUUCGGUAUCUAUAAGGAGUCCUAGGAUCAACCUCCAGAGGAUACUAAAGCUAUCCGCUGUAUAGUGGUCCUUUCUCUUACGCAGGGGAUCCGUUCCGGACCCUCCCUGUGUAAAGGAAAUUCCCCGUAUGCUUGAGCCCCAUUAAAGUAAAUGGGGCUCAUGCACAUGGCAGUACAGCGGCACAGCGGCGCAUGUGCCCCAUUACUCUUUCCGGGGCACGGUGGCACUUCUUCUGGUGUGGUUUCCAGGGUAUGCUGGAAGCCACAUAAGGCGCACCCAUGUAUGAUGUGGGUGCACUGUAUGUUCUUUCAUGUCCUUUAUGUCCACUUAAGUAAGUAGCAGAGGUGCGAGGAAACCCAGUUACUGAAUUGCAAAGAUGUAUAAGUGGUGUGCACUGGAAGUGCUCAUUGCACACCAGAACCUUCCCAUCGGUGUCCAUUGCACAUCGAUCCCUUUGCCAACUCUGCUAUGUAGUUAUGAACUAUAAAGUAGUUACGUAUACUGAAUUCAGACAUUGCACACCUUCACAGUUUUGUUUCCCAGCCAACUUUUACAAGCUCCAUCCAUCAUCGUAUCUCCUGGCAAGAAAUCAUUAACUUAUAAAAAUCAGUAUGGGAAAAAGUUAGCUCUUUUGUCUGCUUGCAACUGACUGACAAGCCGUUCAUUCAGCUAAUGCUGCAUUGCACUGUUUUGAGUAAGGAAAAGAAAUGGUUGCUUUCCAUGGGGAACAAAAAUUAAAAAGAUAAAUGCAGCAAUUAAAACUUCAUAUUGGAGUCCUUCAUAACAAUAGGUUUUUCGUCAUCUUGAAUUAUUGGGGCUCUUUCUUUUUUUAUUUUGUUGGAUGAGAAGAGAAACAAAGCAUGUAUUUUUCCUCUUUUUACUGUUUUUUUAAAUGUUUCCCACAAAAAUAGCAUGAUAUUAACAAAUAUAUUCUGUGAAGGAAGAUGCAGAAUUUUGAAGGUCUCUUGCAAAAAGCCUUAUUUCAACAAGAGUAGGAAAACUUCCCAUUUAGUCAUUCUCCUGAUGUAAAAUAAGCAAAGAAGAUAAAAACAGGGGCUUGCGUGUAAAAGGGAGCCUUUAAAAAAAUGAUUUUUUUAUUUUUUGUGUAUUGAAAGGAGAUGCUUUGUAGGUUGCUGAUGUACGUUGUAAAUAAUGUAUAUUUAAUUUAUUGCUAACGUAGAAUCGUGUAUUUGUUAUUGUAUAAAACAAAUUCUAAAGAAAGGGUCAGAAAUGUAUAUUUUGUUGCUUAAACGUGUCUUUGCAAAAGUCACAAUUGGGAAAAAAAACAAUAUUUUGUGUC